rnacentral:rRNA from 1 species
UACGUAGGGGGCUAGCGUUGUCCGGAAUCAUUGGGCGUAAAGCGCGUGUAGGCGGCUGGGUAAGUCCGCUCUGAAAGCCCGGGGCUCAACCCCGGGAGCGGGUGGAUCUGCUCAGCUCGAGUCCGGAAGAGGAAGUGUGGAAUUCCUGGUGUAGCGGUGAAAUGCGCAGAUAUCAGGAGGAACGCCGAUGCGAAGGACAGCACUCUGGGACGGUACUGACGCUGAGACGCGAAAGCGUGGGGAGCAAACAGG